UCAUUCGGAUUCGCCAUCAUUCGUCCAACCGUGCAUUUGAUAUGCAUAUAUAUGCAUCACGAGCCACGGUUGGGCUGUAUGAUGGCGAUACCGAUUGG
rnacentral:pre_miRNA from 1 species